GGCUCAGUGGUCUAGUGGUAUGAUUCUCGCUUUGGGUGCGAGAGGCCGCGGGUUCGAUUCCCGCCUGAGCCC